rnacentral:sRNA from 1 species
GCUAAUCUUUUAUCUUCUCACCGAAGCUUAGUACAACGGGUUGAAACAAUUUCUCUAGGUGAGCAUCCCUGUGACAGAGGAGAACAAGUAACUCUCUUCCUCUUCAAUGAUUGCCUAGAGAUAGCAAGAAAACGGCACAAGGUUAUUGGCACUUUUAGGAGUCCUCAUGGCCAAACCCGACCCCCAGCUUCUCUUAAGCAUAUUCACCUAAUGCCUCUUUCUCAGAUUAAGAAGGUAUUGGACAUAAGAGAGACAGAAGGUAUGCCGGUCGAAUACAUUCUUGGUUAUAUAAAAAUAGUUUAUAUUCAUUGUAGGUUUGAUUUACUCCAUUUUGGCUUUUUUAAAUUGGUAAAUUAUCUUUAAAUAUAGUUGGUCAGACUGCUAAAGUAAUUGUUCUUGCACCUCUAUCCCAACUUCAUCUCUAGGAACAGAACUGACUUUUUGUUUUCUCAAAUGAAAGUACUCUCUCAACCUAUAGGA